rnacentral:rRNA from 1 species
UGGGGAAUCUUGCGCAAUGGGCGAAAGCCUGACGCAGCGACGCCGCGUGCGGGAAGAAGGCCUUCGGGUUGUAAACCGCUUUCAGGAGGGACGAAGCCACUCGGGUUAAUAGCCCAGAGGGUGACGGUACCUUCAGAAGAAGCCCCGGCUAACUACGUGCCAGCAGCCGCGGUAAUACGUAGGGGGCAAGCGUUGUCCGGAUUUAUUGGGCGUAAAGCGCGUGUAGGCGGCCAGGUAGGUCCGUUGUGAAAACUCGAGGCUCAACCUCGAGACGUCGACGGAAACCCUCUGGCUAGAGUUCGGGAGAGGAGAGUGGAAUUCCCGGUGUAGCGGUGAAAUGCGCAGAUAUCGGGAAGAACACCCGUGGCGAAGGCGGCUCUCCGGAACGAUACUGACGCUGAGACGCGAAAGCGUGGGGAGCGGAACAGGAUUAGAUACCCUGGUAGUCCACGCCGUAAACGAUGGGUGCUAGGUGUAGGCGGUGUCGACUCCGUCUGUGCCGAAGCUAACGCAUUAAGCACCCCG